GUUCGCCUUUUUGCAUGAGUAAUGGCAUUUUGGUAAUUCUAUCAAAUCCUAUCCAGAGUUCACUUCUUUUUUAUGCUUUCUCUCUCUUCUUUAUACUUUCUCUCUCUUACUAUGAAUUCUCUGUCUGGCGAUUUUUUUUUCCUUCGAUCUUCGCACCUUAUUCUUUGAUUUGGUAAAUGGAGUUUCAUAGUUGGUUAUUCCGGUGAUCAAAACUUGGAAUACUCUUUGGCCACAAGAAAGGAAACAUCAGAGACAAUUCAUCCUGUUUGGUCUAUCACUUAUAGUUCAGCUCUGUUUGCACUCUGAUGAUUUUUUGGCUGUCUUUAGUUUGCUCGGGCAAUUGUUUUUAAAUAAUUACAGUUAGAAUUCAGUAAAUAAUGAUUGUGAAGAAACAAACUCUUUUCUCCCUUUCUACUUGCAUGUUUUCUCUAAAUGAAUCUUAAGGGGAUGGGUUAAAUUUGGUCCUGAUACAGAUUACUAAGCUGGUUAUUGGCGUGUGUUUAGUAAGAACUGAAAUAUACAGAUUUGCUGAUUACAAUAGCAUUACUAUAUUAUAAGAAUUAAAUUAGACUUGCUUUCGA